rnacentral:rRNA from 1 species
UACGGAGGGGGCUAGCGUUGUUCGGAAUUACUGGGCGUAAAGCGCACGUAGGCGGCUUUGUAAGUUAGAGGUGAAAGCCCGGGGCUCAACUCCGGAAUUGCCUUUAAGACUGCAUCGCUAGAACGUCGGAGAGGUAAGUGGAAUUCCGAGUGUAGAGGUGAAAUUCGUAGAUAUUCGGAAGAACACCAGUGGCGAAGGCGACUACCUGGCCUGUUCUUGACGCUGAGGCGCGAAAGCUAGGGGAGCAAACGGG